CCAACUGGUGGAUGUAAAACACACUCCAGGCCUGAAGGGGCAACAUAAGCACAGGAGUGGAACUAAAAAAUGACAACCAGUGCUUCCACAGGGACACAAUUUACCUGGGCACCGUCUCAUCCAGCAGGCCUUAAAAUGUUUGGUGAUCAGUCAGUCUUCCUUUGAUCCUGGUCAUCAUAUGAAGUAAGACACAGCUGCUGUUUGGACCGUGAGGACGCAUCUGGCUAGCUGCUGCAAGGCCUAGAUGGUGCCUCCCCCCCUGGGUGGCUCAGCAGUGCAGAAGCGACAACAGGUGUGCCUUAUCAGCAAUCCUCAGCUGGAACUAGGAGCAGGUGGAGAUCAUCUAAUCAAGCACACCCUGCCUCAGUAUAACCAGACGCCUCACAUCUCAAGCGCCAGAUCGUGACACAUCAGUUUUGGUUCCACCUGCUCCUAGUAGAGUCCUCUACACCUGAUUCUGGUCUCUGCUUCAGCGAGAAGGGAAAUCUCUCCAGGCCGCCGGUGGCUCAGCAGUGCAGAAGCAACGACAGGUGUGCCUCAUUAGCAAUCCUCAGCCAGAACUAGGAGCAGGUGGAGAUGGUCUAAUCAAGCACACCCUGCCUCGGUAAAACCAGGCGCCUCUCAACUCAAGCGCCAGAUCAUGACACAUCAGUUUUGGUUCCACCUGCUCCUAGUAGAGUCCUCUACACCUGAUUCUGGUCUCCACUUUGGUAAGAAGGGAAAUCUCUCCAGGCUGUCGUAAGUAAAGUUUAUUUAUAUAGCACUUUUCACAGAUAUAAAAUCAAAGAGCUUUCCAUUAAAAGAAAAAUAAGGCAUUAAAAAAGCCUCCACAAUGUGAAAGCACAUUUCUCAUAAAAUCACACAUGUAAAGACGCACACCCUUGGGCGUCUCAUCCAUUCACCUGUUGUCUGUUACCCCCCACCACCACCUGGCCCUGCACGCUGGCUCCCUCCACUGAAUCGUCCUGUGCAUCACAGAGAAUUUGAGUUGGUUAGUUUGGUCGUAGUUUCCGCUCUUGUACAGAGCAUCGUUCAGAGUAUUCUUUAUUUGUAGUAUUCACUCAAACCUUGUGGUUAUAGUAAAUUGGUUUGUUUUAUAGCAGUUAAGUGUCACCUACUGCAAGUAGGAAUUAUUUGGUGUUUCUUUAUAGUUUCCAGCCACUAGUAGUCACUGUAUUGUUUCCUGUGUAGUUGCCAUCUUGGUUUGUAGUUGCUUGGAACAGCUGUAAAAAAGCAAAUUGUGUUGCAUUCAAAGACAGACGGUCAUUUCCUGAGCCAACCCGACAUCAUAACUUUUUCACGGUCUACUAUACAUUUCAUCAUAUGGCAUGUCGGAAAAAUGGCAUUUCGACAUACUAUGGUGUUGGACAAAAUUCAUGAUUUUUUUUGUUUCAAAGAAAAGUGCUCUGUAGUGUUAACAGCCGACUUUACAUUUAAUUUUGCAGUGUGCAUUUAUCUUGCACUGUUUUUUGCACUGUACAUUAAUCUUUGGCAGUAUGCAUUUUGUUUGAAAUAGUAUACUAUGGCGUUUAUUUUGAACAAAGUUCAUUAUCACUUUUUUCCAAAGAAAACUGCUCUACAGUGUUUUUCACAGCCUACUUUACCUUAUUUAAUCUUGCACUGUGCAUUUGUAUUGCAGUGUUUUUUGCACUGUACGUUAAUCUUUUGCAGUGUACAUUUAUUUGUUUGAAAUACUAUACCAUGGUAUUUACUCUGGACAAAACUCAUUAUCACUUUUUCCAAAAAACUACCGUACAGAGUUUUUCACAGCCUACUUUAUAUUAUUUCAUCUUGCAGUGUGUGUUUUUGUUCGGCAUGCUAUACUAUGGCGUUAAUAUUGGACAAAAUUCAUGAUCACUUAAUUCAAAGAAACCUGCUGUAUAGUGUUUCUAACAGCCUACUUUACAUUUCAUUUUAGUGUGUUUUGCAGUGUUUGUAUUUUUGUUUGACAUCCUACACUGGUGUUUGUUUAGGACAAAAUUCAUGUUUUUUUUUCUUCAAAGAAAACUGCUGUGUACAGUUUUUCACGGUGUACUUAACAUUAUCAUAUGGUGUCUUUAUGGCAUGCUGGGAAAAAAUGGCAUUAUUUCGACAUACUAUGGUGUUAAUUUUGGACAAUAUUUGAUUUUUUUAAAUUUUGUUUCAAAGAACUGCUCUGUUUUCAACAGCCUACUUUACAUUUCAUUUUACAGUGCGCGUUUGUAUCUUGCAGUGUGCUUUUAUCUUGCACUGAGUUUAUCUUGCAGUGUGUACGUUUGUAUUUUGCAGUGUUUGUAUUUUUGUUCAAACUAUAGAGUAUAUUUUGGACAAAAUUCAAGACUUGGUUUUUCAAAGAAAACUGCUAGUGUUUAACAGCCUACUUUACAGCAUUUCAUCUUGCAGUGUGUGCAUUUGUAUCUUGGAGUGUGAAUUUGUAUCUUUAUUCGACAUACUAUGGCGUUCAUUUAGGACAAAUUCAUGAUCCUUUCAAAGAAAACUGCUCUAUGGUGUUUCUCAGUGUAACUUGCAUUAUUUCAUCUUGCACUGUUUGUAUCUUGCAGUGUGCAUGUGUAUUUUUGUUUGACAUACUGUACAAUGCCAUUUAUUUUGGACAACAUUCAUGAUCCUUUUUUUUCCCCAAUGAAAACUGCUUUAGUGUUUUUCACAGCCUUCUUUACAUAAUUUCAUUUUCCAGUGUGCGCUUUUAUCUUGCAGUGUGCGCUUGUAUUUUUGUUCGACAUACUAUACUGUGGCGUUUAUUUUGUACAAAAUUCAUGACCCUUUUUUUAACCAAAAAAACUGCUCUACAGUGUUUUUCAUGGCAUACUUCACAUUAUCAUAUGGCGUGUCUUUAUGGCAUGUUGGAAAAAUGGCAUUAUUUUGACAUACUAAGGUGUUAAUUUUGGACAAAAUACAUGUUUUCCCAAAGAAAACUGCCCUAUAGUGGUUUUCACAGCCUACUUGACAUUAGUUCAUCUUGCAGUGUGCGUUCAUUUUUGUUCGACAUACUAUACUAUGGCAUUCAUUUUGGACAAAAUUCAUGUUCCUUUCUUUUAACCAAAGAAAACUGCUCUACAGUGUUUUUCACGUGUACUUUACAUUAUCAUAUAUGGCAUGUUUGGAAAAAUGGCAUUAUUUCAACAUGGUAAGGUGUUAAUUUUGGACAAAUUUUUUUUUGUUUCAAAGGAAACUGCUUUAGUGUUUUUCACAGCCGACUUCACAAUUCCUAUUGCAGUGUGCAUUUAUAUUUAUGUUCGACAUACUAUGGCGUUAAAAUUGGACAAAAUUCAUGAUUUUUUUUCUCUCCAAAGAUGACUGCUCUAGUGUUCGUCACGCUGUACAUUACAUUAUCACAUGGUGUCUUGACAUGUCCGGGGAAAAAUGGCAUUAUUUCGACAUGGUAAGGUGUUAAUUUUGGACAAAUUUUUUUUUUGUUUCAAAGGAAACUGCUUUAGUGUGUUUCACAGCCAACUUCACAAUUCCUAUUGCAGUGUGCAUUUAUAUUUACGUUCGACAUACUAUGGCGUUAAAAUUGGACAAAAUUCAUGAUUUUUUUCUCUCCAAAGAUGACUGCUCUAGUGUUCAUCACGCUGUACAUUACAUUAUCACAUGUUGUCUUGACAUGUCCGGGGAAAAAUGGCAUUAUUUCGACAUGUUACGGUGUUAAUUAUGGACAAAAUUUAUGAAGUUUUGUUUCAGAGAACUGCUCAAGUUUUUGAAAGUGUACUUUACAUUAUUUCAUUUUUGCAGUUUGUAUUUGUGCUUGACAUACUGUACUAUGGUGUUUAUUUUGAAUAAAAUUCAUGACUUUUUGUCAAAGAAAACUGCUCGAGUAUUUUUUUUCACAGCUACUUUCUAUUGUUUCAUCUUGGAGUUUGUUUUGCAGUGUGCUUAUAGUGUUGUUCAACAUACUAUACCAUGCCAUUUAUUUUGGACAAAAUUCGUGAUCCUUUCCCCCCCCCCAAAGAACACUGCUUUAGUGCUUUUCACAGCCUCAUUUAC